AUCCCAGUUCGGAUCGCAGGCUGCAACCCGCCUGCGUGAAGUUGGAAUCGCUAGUAAUCGCGGAUCAGCAUGCCGCGGUGAAUACGUUCCCGGGCCUUGUACACACCGCCCGUCACACCAUGAGAGUCGGGAACACCCGAAGUCCGUAGCCUAACUCUAACGAGGGGGCGCGGCCGAAGGUGGGUUCGAUAAUUGGGGUGAAGUCGUAACAAGGUAGC
rnacentral:rRNA from 1 species